GCCUUUCCGGUACAGUGGUUAGUAAUGCUGUGCUGUACCGUAGGGCCUGGGUUCAAAUCCCAGAAAAGAGCA